UCAUCUGUGGCUGACAUUUUGGGGAGUUAUCCAGAUGUGUAAGUUUGACACAUGUCUGAUUAUCUACAUUUCUUUAAAAAGUCCAAUAUCACAGGUAAUUUCAGGUUUUGUAUAGAAUGAGCUGAAGAGCUGAAGUCACUCAAUCGUGUCUGACUCUUUGCGACCCCAUGGACUGUAGCCCCCCAGGCUCCUCGGUCCAUGGGAUUUUCCGGGCAUGAAUACUGGAGUGGGUUGCCAGAAUAGUUCACACUAAAUAAUGGAAAAGCUGCUCUUUUGAUUCUGAAAUUUAACCUCAUUUUUUACUCCUAUGAAUAGUUAUUCAUAGUCAGCUGAGAGUUCCUUUUCCAGCAUGAUUUGACAGAUGAAUGCUGGGUGUUGAUGUAUUAAUUACGUGCAAGCUUCUUGAUCAGUUUGUUGUCUUCAGUACACUGCACAGGUCCUCUGUGAUCUAGACCACCCUGUGAACUUAGGCACCUUCCACGGGGCAGAGAAGUCAGCAUAGCCCUGGAAAGUGAAUUAAUCAUGUGUUCUGAAUUAUUGUUUUUCGUGUUACCCAUUCAAAAGUGCCAAAUAAAAGCCCCCCUGUUUAAAGCAAAACUUGAAAAAUAAAAUUUGAAUGUGGCCCAGAAUAAGGAAUAUAAUGGAAUAUAAUCUAUUAAUUCUACACACCCUUUUAGAUUUGUAAUGUUUAAUCAGAGGUAUACUUUAGAAUCAUCUUAAGAGCUUUUUCAAAAUAUACAUGUCUGAGCUCCUUUCCUACAGGAUCUGAUUUAGUGGAGCUGAGGUGGAGAGGCCACGCAGGUCCAUUAGAAAAAAAGUUUUCCAGGUGAUUACGACAUGUCCCCAGGUUAAGAAUCUGCUUCACAAGAUUGGCCAUAUGUUGGUAGCUGUUGAUAAUCUUUACCAAAGGUGCUGUUGUGUCUGUGGGGUUGCUUUAUCAGUGGUUCAUGUCCAUUUUAGUAGAUAUUGCCACAUUGUUUGCAAAAUUUCUGCAACAACACCAUCUCUACCAGCCUGUACUGUUCUUCCACAUAAGCAAGAAGGGCUCCUGCCCUGGGCCCUGCACUUUAGAAGACCCUCAUAUCACAAAUGGGUUUCCCCGAUGGCUCAGUGGGUAAAGAAACCACCUACGGCCUACAACGCAGGAGACACAGGAGAUGCAGGUUUGAUCCCUGGGUUGGGAAGAUCCCCGGAGGAGGAAAAUGGCAGCCCACUCCAGUAUUCUUGCCUGGAGAAUCCCAUGGGCAGAGAAGCCUGGCGGGCUGCAGUCCAUGGAUGGAGUUGCAAAGAGUCGGACACAAUUAAGCAACUUAGCCCACAGGCAACAGCAUAGUGCAAAUACACAAAAUAAAGUUGGUUUAUUGCAGACCCGUGGGGCACCUGUCACUCAGCCAUGGCACAGCGUUGCCCGCUGCCCUCAACAUCCGCUCUUGUGACUGAUAUCAUUCAGCCCCCAGGGAAGUGCUUUUCUGCAUCUCUUGCUCUGUCUCUUGGAGGUAAAGGCCACCUGAGUCUAAAAGCUUGUGGAUUAUACCACUGCUGACAUCAGAAAUAGACUCCUGCUUUGGAGUGUGGGGGAAAAACUGAACAGCAGAAGGACUUAGAUUAUUGAAAAUGUGUACAAAUCACGAUUUUGAUAGAAAAAGAAUACUAAAGUGGAACUCACAAAAGAAAACUGAAAGGAAAAAAGGAGUAAAAAAAAUCUUCAAAGAAAUGGUCUGCUUUAAAAGUAAGCAGUCUUCUUCUAGGAUGACCCACAUAAAAUUCACAAAGAGAACAUUACAGAUUCUUUGUUCAAUGAAGAUUUAAUUAUGUAUCAAAACAAUGAAAAUUAGAAAUAUUCUUGCCAAAUCCACAACUUGAACAGUUCAGAUAAAUCCUGACAGCUUCAUGUUCUUUACUAAAGGAAGAUUUAAUUGCUAAUCACAAAGAAUCAUACAGCAGAAAAGGACAUGUGCAGUUAUUGGAAUUGGAGGGGAAAGGCUGAAUAAACAGCAGACAGUUGAUAACCAGAAAAGGCAAAGGUAAAAAACAUAGAUGUAAAAAAAAAAAAAACAUAGAUGUAGUGUUCUUGAAA